GCCCCCGUUGUCUAAUGGUUAUGACGUCAGACUUCUAAGCAUAACUGCUUAUGUAAUUCAACAUCUGGAGGCUGCGAGUUCGAGUCUCGCCGGGGGCU